CCUACGGGCGGCUGCAGUGGGGAAUAUUGCACAAUGGGCGCAAGCCUGAUGCAGCCAUGCCGCGUGUGUGAAGAAGGCCUUCGGGUUGUAAAGCACUUUCAGCGGGGAGGAAGGCGUUAAGGUUAAUAACCUUGGCGAUUGACGUUACCCGCAGAAGAAGCACCGGCUAACUCCGUGCCAGCAGCCGCGGUAAUACGGAGGGUGCAAGCGUUAAUCGGAAUUACUGGGCGUAAAGCGCACGCAGGCGGUCUGUCAAGUCGGAUGUGAAAUCCCCGGGCUCAACCUGGGAACUGCAUUCGAAACUGGCAGGCUAGAGUCUUGUAGAGGGGGGUAGAAUUCCAGGUGUAGCGGUGAAAUGCGUAGAGAUCAGGAGGAAUACCGGUGGCGAAGGCGGCCCCCUGGACAAAGACUGACGCUCAGGUGCGAAAGCGUGGGGAGCAAACAGGAUUAGAUACCCCGGUAGUC
rnacentral:rRNA from 1 species